GAUCGCUUGAGCCCAGGAGUUUGAGGUUGCUGUGAGCUAUGAUGACAACACCGUAGUCUAGCCCAGGCAGCAGAGCCAGACCUUGUCUAACAAAAGGAGGGACAUGUGAAAGAGCUUUGCUGAGUGAGAAAAAGAUACACACAAGAAUGGGUAAGAGUGAGCGAGAAACAGACGGGACAGAAAGGAAACUACUAACCCAGAGACAAGAGACAGAAGGAGGUGGCAAUGACAGAUCUAAAACAAGGAGCCUCCCAGGUAGCUGGAACCACAGGCCUGUGCCACCAUGCCCAGUGACCUGCCAACAUUUUGAGAAAGGCCACAAUCUGGAAUCCUUGGGAGAGCAAGUUCAGCUCCAAACUGCCACUAACAAGGACAGGCCAGGGCCCGCCCAAGACUUCUCCCGCACAUACCUGGAGUGGCUGCCUGCCCUGGCGCGGAGACGGCGAAAUGGGAAGAGU